CAUUUAACGGUGUUUAGACAAUAAUAGUCUGCAGGCAUGGGUUCAUCUUGUGAAACCUGAAAGUUCUCUGAAGUUGUUUACGUUCUCAGUUUGGCUGACAGCCGCGCAUGCGCUCUGAAGUUUACAACUAAAUGUUUUGCAGACGUGGGCAUGCAGUGUCAGCGCGCGCAUGUUCUUUCUAUGUUUAUGUUUUGUACAGGACACCAGUUCCGACUUCCGAUAGUGUUUGUUUGGUGCUGAAGCGCAGGAAUACAUCAUGAUUCUGUUCACAUAUGGAGAUGAUCUGGAGGAUCUGGAUCAGACCAUUGAUGAAUAUCUAUUCUACAAUAUCAUGCAGAUCUGCAGCGACUGCUGACUGAAUGUGGAGGAAAGUUUCACUGGUUCAAUAACCAGAGAGAAUCAGACGAUCAGAUACGAGAACUACUGCAGAAGAUUGAAACAAUGAUGGAGGAGAACGGAGGGAAAUUUAAACACAUGAGGAGGAUACACAGCAUGGUCAGCAUUGUCAAUUUUUCAGCUGAAGAUCCAGAUGAGACUGAUGUGAUUCCUGAGAGCAAAGACCAGAUCAGGCCGGUUCUGCUGGGAGAAACUGGAUCUGGGCAAAGUGCCACUGGAAACAGAAAUCUGUUUGAAUCUUCAGCCGGUUCAAACUCUGAAACGAAACAGAGCCGCUCAGAAACCAAUGUCAGGAUGGGUAAAGAUAUCUGGUUUUAUUGA
rnacentral:lncRNA from 1 species